rnacentral:rRNA from 1 species
UACGGGGGGAGCAAGCGUUGUUCGGAUUUACUGGGCGUAAAGGGCGCGUAGGCGGCCACCGCAAGUCGACUGUGAAAUCUCCGGGCUUAACCCGGAAAGGUCAGCCGAUACUGCGGGGCUAGAGUGCAGAAGGGGCAACUGGAAUUCUCGGUGUAGCGGUGAAAUGCGUAGAUAUCGGGAGGAACACCAGUGGCGAAGGCGGCGACCUGGGCAGAUACUGACACUGAGGUGCGAAAGCGUGGGGAGCAAACAGG